rnacentral:rRNA from 1 species
GGACUACUAGGGUUUCUAAUCCUGUUCGCUCCCCUAGCUUUCGCACCUGAGCGUCAGUUACCAGCCAGGACACUGCCUUCGCCUUUGGUAUUCCUCCGGAUAUCUACGCAUUUCACCACUCCACCCGGAAUUCUAUGUCCCUCUCUGGUCCUCAAGUUCCGCAGUAUCUCGCCGCCUUGCUCAGUUGAGCCAAGCACUGUCAUGCGAGACUGACGAAACCGCCUGCGUGCGCUUUACGCCCAAUAAAUCCGGACAACGCUCGCCCCCUACGUAUUACCGCGGCUGCUGGCAC